ACUCCUACGGGAGGCAGCAGUAGGGAAUCUUCCACAAUGGGCGCAAGCCUGAUGGAGCAACACCGCGUGAGUGAAGAAGGGUUUCGGCUCGUAAAGCUCUGUUGUUGGAGAAGAACGUGCGUGAGAGUAACUGUUCACGCAGUGACGGUAUCCAACCAGAAAGUCACGGCUAACUACGUGCCAGCAGCCGCGGUAAUACGUAGG
rnacentral:rRNA from 1 species